UACGUAGGGGGCUAGCGUUGUCCGGAAUCAUUGGGCGUAAAGAGCGUGUAGGCGGCCCGGUAAGUCCGCUGUGAAAGUCGGGGGCUCAACCCUCGAAUGCCGGUGGAUACUGUCGGGCUAGAGUGCGGAAGAGGCGAGUGGAAUUCCUGGUGUAGCGGUGAAAUGCGCAGAUAUCAGGAGGAACACCAAUAGCGAAGGCAGCUCGCUGGGACGGUACUGACGCUAAGGCGCGAAAGCGUGGGGAGCGAACAGG
rnacentral:rRNA from 1 species